rnacentral:rRNA from 1 species
GAUGAACGCUGGCGGCGUGCCUAAUACAUGCAAGUCGAGCGAACAGACGAGGAGCUUGCUCCUCUGACGUUAGCGGCGGACGGGUGAGUAACACGUGGAUAACCUACCUAUAAGACUGGGAUAACUUCGGGAAACCGGAGCUAAUACCGGAUAAUAUAUUGAACCGCAUGGUUCAAUAGUGAAAGACGGUUUUGCUGUCACUUAUAGAUGUAUCCGCGCCGCAUUAGCAAGUUGGUAAGGUAACGGCUUACCAAGGCAACGAUGCGUAGCCGACCUGAGAGGAUGUACGGCCCCAGUGGAACAGCGACACGGUCCUGAGUCCUACGGGAGGCAGCAGUAGGGAAUCUUCCGCAGUGGGCGAAAGCCUGACAGAGCAACGCCGCGUGAGUGAUGAAGGUCUUCGGAUCGUACAACUCUGUUAUUAGGGAAGAACAAGUGUGUAAGUAACUAUGCACGUCUUGACGGUACCUAAUCAGAAAGCAACGGCUAACUACGUG